GCCUACGGCCACACCACCCUGAAAACUGCCCGAUCUCGUCUGAUCUCGGAAGCUAAGCAGGGUCGGGCUUGGGUUAGUACUUGGAUGGGAGACCGCCUGGAAUCUCGGGUGCUGUAGGCU
rnacentral:rRNA from 1 species